AGUGAACGCUGGCGGUAGGCCUAACACAUGCAAGUCGAACGGCAGCACAGUAAGAGCUUGCUCUUACGGGUGGCGAGUGGCGGACGGGUGAGGAAUACAUCGGAAUCUACUUUUUCGUGGGGGAUAACGUAGGGAAACUUACGCUAAUACCGCAUACGACCUACGGGUGAAAGCAGGGGAUCUUCGGACCUUGCGCGACUGAAUGAGCCGAUGUCGGAUUAGCUAGUUGGCGAGGUAAAGGCCCACCAAGGCGACGAUCCGUAGCUGGUCUGAGAGGGUGAUCUGCCACACUGGAACUGAGACACGGUCCAGACUCCUACGGGAGGCAGCAGUGGGGAAUAUUUGACAAUGGGCGCAAGCCUGAUCCAGCAAUGCCGCGUGGGUGAAGAAGGCCUUCGGGUUGUAAAGCCCUUUUGUUGGGAAAGAAAAGCAGCAUGUUAAUCCCCCGCUGUUCUGACGGUACCCAAAGAAUAAGCACCGGCUAACUUCGUG
rnacentral:rRNA from 1 species